rnacentral:rRNA from 1 species
GACGAACGCUGGCGGCGUGCUUAACACAUGCAAGUCGAACGGAAAGGCCCUGCUUUUGUGGGGUGCUCGAGUGGCGAACGGGUGAGUAACACGUGAGUAACCUGCCCUUGACUUUGGGAUAACUUCAGGAAACUGGGGCUAAUACCGGAUAGGAGCUCCUGCUGCGUGGUGGGGGUUGGAAAGUUUCGGCGGUUGGGGAUGGACUCGCGGCUUAUCAGCUUGUUGGUGGGGUAGUGGCUUACCAAGGCUGUGACGGGUAGCCGGCCUGAGAGGGUGACCGGCCACAUUGGGACUGAGAUACGGCCCAGACUCCUACGGGAGGCAGCAGUGGGGAAUAUUGCACAAUGGGCGGAAGCCUGAUGCAGCAACGCCGCGUGCGGGAUGACGGCCUUCGGGUUGUAAACCGCUUUCGCCUGUGACGAAGCGUGAGUGACGGUAAUGGGUAAAGAAGCACCGGCUAACUACGUG